AUGAACUGUGUUUCUGCAUAUAAUUGACCUCCUUUUUUCCAAGCAUGACGCUUUUCUGAUUUUGUUGGAGUGGAAGUUAUACUUUCUGUUAGAAAAUAACUAAAAAAACCAAUGAAUUCUAGUCAUGAAGACAGCUGAAGUCCAGCACUGGGACUACAAUUUACUCUUUUAACUUUGAUUUUUUAUGGAUGAAAAUUACAGGAAGGACAGGGACGACAGGAUCGG
rnacentral:misc_RNA from 1 species